rnacentral:rRNA from 1 species
AUGAACGCUGGCGGCAUGCCUAACACAUGCAAGUCGAACGAGACCUUCGGGUCUAGUGGCGCACGGGUGCGUAACGCGUGGGAAUCUGCCCUUGGGUUCGGAAUAACAGCUAGAAAUGGCUGCUAAUACCGGAUGAUGACGUAAGUCCAAAGAUUUAUCGCCCAAGGAUGAGCCCGCGUAGGAUUAGCUAGUUGGUGAGGUAAAGGCUCACCAAGGCGACGAUCCUUAGCUG